GACGAACGCUGGCGGCGUGCUUAACACAUGCAAGUCGAACGGUAAGGCCCUUCGGGGUACACGUGUGGCGAACGGGUGAGUAACACGUGGGUGAUCUGCCCUGCACUUCGGGAUAAGCCUGGGAAACUGGGUCUAAUACCGGAUAGGACCACUGCCUGCAUGGGUGGUGGUGGAAAGCUUUUGCGGUGUGGGAUGGGCCCGCGGCCUAUCAGCUUGUUGGUGGGGUGAUGGCCUACCAAGGCGACGACGGGUAGCCGGCCUGAGAGGGUGACCGGCCAAACUGAGACUGAGAUACGGCCCAGACUCCUACGGGAGGCAGCAGGGGGGAAUAUUGCACAAUGGGCGCAAGCCUGAUGCAGCGACGCCGCGUGAGGGAUGACGGCCUUCGGGUUGUAAACCUCUUUCAGCACCGACGAAGCGCAAGUGACGGUAGGUGCAGAAGAAGGACCGGCCAACUACGUGCCAGCCGCCGCGGUAA
rnacentral:rRNA from 1 species